ACAUUAAAAAGUGACUAUAUACUUAUCCAAGGAGAAUUUGGGCCUGAACCUUGGCAUAGCUGGCCAGAAGAUGGCUACUUGGGCAGUAGAGGUGGGAACUGGGUGCUUGGGAGGGUUACUUGUAAAAGACCUGAGGUCUGACUCCAUGGUACAAACCAGUUCCUCACUCACCUUCUGCAAGGUCGUGGGUAGGUCCAGGUGUAAGGGUGGUUCCUGCACCUCAUGGGGGACAGGGACCACAUGGGCCAUCCCUGGGAAAGGUGGUCACCACGUGUUUCUCUUCCAGCAUCGUUCCAGCACAUGAGCACAUGUGGGUGUGUAUGGAUGCUGCCUGGGGGAGCACUGCCGGAGUGGAUUUCUAAUUAUAGCUAAUUGCAGGGCUGAUACUCUCUGGAUUUGGUCUGAUACAAGUCAAACGAUUUCCUGUUGUUCAGCCCUUUACAGACACGUAGCUGGAGGCACCGAGAUGGAUGUGUUUUCUGAAGGCAUCCAGCUGGGCAAACACACACUCUUCCUUUUCCUUCCUGUGCAUGGACGUCGGUGGAGCGAAACACCCCACCGCAGCCUCGCUCCGUGGUCUUGGGUGAUGUUAACACUCCAUUUUAUUAAAUAGCAUAGAAGUCCCUAAACCAGGUGAAAUGGUCAGGUUUAGUGAAGCUGAGGGCUGUUGGGUCGAGCAGCGGGGCUUGGCCACACUGAGCCCUGGGCUUCUGUGGUCAGACCUUCUCAGUCCCCCAAAGACAGCGCCUUUCUCCGCACAGCCUUGCAGCUGGCGUUGCUGGCAGCGCUUCGCAUCAAACCCUUAGGAAAGCUCUACACAGAUACACUUUCUGAAAAAUGGGAUCCAAAAUGCCUUAACCAUGUUCCCUGCAAUGGGACUAGGUGCAUUAAUUGGUUAAAUAUUUACACAAUGGUCAAAUAUUGCAUAGGAACUAGAUUUUAUCAUGAGUCGUUAAAUUCAUACGUUAAAGCCCAUUUUUAAUGUCCCCUAAUGGGGACAUUCAAAGUGUAUUUCAUGUAGUUGAUAGAGCUGUAAUGCUGUGCUGUCAAAGAUCCCAGCGAUAGAAGGGGAACUCGUUAGCCCAGGCGCCGGCCACACGAAGGGACAGGCAGAUCUCAAACACAGAAACGAUCAAAGUUAAACAAACGUUUAAGAAGAAAAGCAGCAGCUUCUUGAAAGGAAUCAGGUGAGUUUGACUCCAAAUGUAAUUUUUUUUUAUACUUUGGCUUGCACAUGAGCCAGGAUCCAAAACGAUGAUUUCAUAACCCUUAAGAUGUUUCAAACAAACAUUAUUAUUCUCUAGGAAAAAACGCCCCCCUCUCUCCCAGGUACGCUCUGCACACUGAAUCCACAGUCCUGAAAACCUGGAACUGAUGCCAAGCAUUUUAAUCUUACCAAAAGUAAAACAUGAGCACAAAUAUUACAUAAAAAUUGACUUUUAAAAUUUUUCCAGUGUUAACGUUGUAAGAGUCCCCGUAAGCGUAUUAUGUGACAUUGGGUCUGCUCAAUGCUUUUCAAAUGUUGCUGCUGUUACAGCAGGUGCUGGUCAUGUUUCUUUUCAGAUGUUUGUAGGAAAUUACGUGGAGAAAAAACUCUGCUUUAGGAAAAGCCCAAAGGCAAAUGGAAUGAACAGAAAGAGCAGAUUCUCCACGGACUUCUGAGUCUGGAGGUCUCCUGGAAGUCCUCCUGGUAGGAUGUGUUUCAGCAGGGUGGGAAGGCUGGGAGCCUGGAAGGAUGCUCACGGUGACUGCUGGGAUUCCAGAGGUUCGAACCAUCUCCUGCUCUCUUUGAGGCUGGCUGCAGGUAUCAAUGAGCGCACCUGCUUGGACACUUUUCAGCUCAGCAUCUUUUAAUGGAGGAGGGAGCACUGCUCGGAGGUCUGUGGAGGCAGCGAAGUCUCAGGCAGCCUUGCUCCUCUCCCAGGCGCAUGCUGCCCGCGAGGAGUGGGAAGGACAUCUCUAACCUCUAGAUGCUGCCGCCUGCGAAGCCCCCGGCAGCGGAUGGCCAUCAGCACGGCACCCUGGCUGGCCUGAGCAGCCUGGGGGAUGGGAGCACAGCGUCGGCCAGGCUCGCUGCCUUCGCCCCAGUGCCAAAUCAAAGCCUCCUCAUUUCGCUCUAGCUGAUGUUUUUGUGUGACCUCUCCCAUGGCAUGUGGAGUGGAGAAACGUCCUCCCUGCUUUUCCCACCAGAGGAGGUAAUGCUUUCAGAGAUCGCAUUGCUUCAGGUUUUGCCUGCUUGGGCUCGAGCAAAUGUAGCAGGAGUAUUUGUGAGUGGAGUGUGAUGAACCAUAAAUAAUGAGGAGAUUCCCAGGAAAGCAUCAUGGAGCUGUGGAGGAGAAGGCUGCCCGGCAGCUGGUGAGGUCGCCCAGUGACUCAUGUCCAGCUUUACAGGGACCUCCUGCCUGCCCAUGGGUAAGCCAUGGCUUGGUGACCGUAGGUAAGCCAUGGCACCGCGUCCUGCUUCGGUAUCUCCCCCUCAGAGUGGGAGGCAGAGCCAUGCAAGAUGUAUUAGCAGCCCCUGACCCAAGGGAUUCUUGGUUGUCUGCAUGACCCUUUGCAUCCUAGGGGGAUUAAACGAUCAGGCUGCUCGACAAAAUAGUGGGAUCGUCAAGGCAGAUAGAGAGGACGUGAUUAUGGGUCUGUUUUGCAGCAGCAGUUUCGCAGAUCUCAGGGGUCUAGUAGGGAAAUCUGUGAGGGCAAAGGGGUGCCUGGGACAAAAAGUGCUGUACCCCAAAAUUAGGAGACCCUGAAAGACAGCAUCCAAAAUAACAGCACACUCACUGGGCUCGUCCCCGGUGCUGGAGGGCCAAGGAUGUCUCUGUGCUGAGGCUUGGGAAUGCAGAGGCAUGGCACUGCCCAGCAGUGGGAGGCAUUUUUCUGAAAGCUUCUCCUGAACUUUUAAAGUAUUUUUUCAGCUUCAAAACCUGUAUAUUAUAAAGAAAAAUUCCUCACGUUGUUAGCAUCACUUUCAGCCAGCAGCUAUCAUUAGUUCCAGAGUCUGUUGCCAGCAGCAGCACCGGUGAUUUACUUCGUCUGCUGCAAGGCUAGAGGAUGAGCCACUUUCGCCUUUUCUGAGUUUCCCACAUUGCCUCUUUGCUCAUGAGGAAGCAAAAUUCCUCAUGAAAAUUGGGCUGCCACCACAUCAGGAGACUGCCAGCUACCGCCUCCAGGUGUGGCUGUCUUGGAACGCAUUUAAAAACCCACUCUGAACCCAUUUCUCCUCCUCUGUAUUUUUCCCAAUAUAGUUUUCCUCCUCAGCCUGAGCUCCUGGUGCUGGUUUGAAGGGAUGGCCGCCCUCUGCUACUGGCCAGGUGGCCAGUGGCAUGUCCUGUGCCGGAGCAACCCGUCCUGAUCCCACUGAGGUGGUUUGUUUGCCAUGCUUGGUUUUGCUCCCCUGCUCACCCCAUCACGCUGCUCCUAUUUUUAAUACCAAGGAAUAAACCCGUCUCUUCGCUACAUCUCUUACACGUCGCAAGCAGCACAAGGAGAUGCUUUCCUCGGCUGGAAUGACAGCCCCCGGUGUUAUGCUGGGAAAAGCUGCCGACUACAAGCCCCGGGAGCUCCUGUAGUUCUUUCAGGGAGAACAAGCUGCAGCCAAGCCAGGAAAAC